rnacentral:lncRNA from 10 species
CAGGCUGGAGUACAGUGGCGCGAUCUCAGCUCACUGCAACCUCUGCCUCCCAGGUUCAAACUCACUGCAGCCUCAGCCUCCAAAGUAGCUAGGACUACAGGCACACGCCACCACGCUUGGCUAAUUUUUGUAUUUUUAGUAGAGACAGGGUUUCACCAUGUUGCCCAGGCUGGUCUCAAAUUCCUUACCUCAAGUGAUCUGCCUGCCUCAGCCUCCCAAAGUGCCAGGAUUACAGACAUGAACCACUGCGCCCAGCCUCCACUUAUUUUUUAUUUUAUUUUAUUUUUUUUGAAACAAUCUCACUCCAUCACCCAGGCCGGAGUGCAGUGGCGUGAUCUCGGCUCACUGCAACCUCCGCCUCCCAGGGUUCAAGCAAUUCUCCUGCCUCAGCCUCCUGAGUAGCUGGGAUUACAGGCAUGCGCCACUACGCCCAGCUAAUUUUUGUAUUUUUGGUAGAGAUGGGGUUUUGCCAUGUUGGCCAGGCUGGUCUCGAACCCCUGACCUCAGCUGAACCGCUCUCCUCGGCCUCCAAAAGUGCUGGGAUUAUAGGCAUCAGCCACAGCACCUGGCCCUUCACUUAGUCUUAAUCACUCAUCCAAUCAACAAUCAAUGCUUAUUUUAUGCUUUGCUGUAUUCCUGCAUUUUAUUAUUCUCCCAGUACACUGGUACUAAGUGUUUAGUGUGUACCAGGUAUUAGCUCAUUUAAACAUCUCAAACCACUGGAAAGAAUCAACCCAGGCAAUUAUCUUGAUUUCAGACUUCUCUCCAAAACUGGGAGAGAAUAAAUUUCUGUUGUCUGGAGCCCCCCAGGUUGUGCAAAUUUGUUACAUUAGCCCCAGGAAACUUACACAGCCCCCUCUCCAACCCCAAGUAAAAACUCACCUGUCCUCCUGCAGGUCCUCCAGGUCUGAGAGGGUAGUGCUUACCUCCGGCACUCUGGCCAGGAGCAGGAAGGUAUUUCUCUUUGCGGAUUUCUGGAGCAUGUGGGUUGUGGACUCAGAGACACUUGGAAACUCCAGAGGUUUUUCCCAAGUGUCAGCAGCAUGCACCCUCCCACAGCCAUUUCUUUGGAAGCUAGAAGUCUGAAAUCAAGGUCUCUGCAAGAUUGGUUCCUUCUGGUGGGUUGGGACUGUUAAAUGAGUUAAUCAGCAUCUUUAUGAACCUCAGCCUUCCUGUCCAUGAACAUGCUGUGUUAGCCAGACAAGCACUUCCUGAUUUGCCAGUCCAUGGAGAGGCCCUGCCAGCCCGUUCAUGGCUGCUGCAAAGGACAGGUAAGGGUCUGAAAGGCCACUGCCCACCAAGUGGCUGGUAUGGGCACUUACAUUGCCGCCCUCAUGGUCACUGUGGAUAGUGAGGUACAGGUGCAUGAGCUCAGGGAACUGAUGAUCAGUAUAGCCUAACAUGUUGGUGAAACUGUGAGACCAGUCCAGGUUAGAGUCAAUGGCCCCAAUACCACUGCCUUCUCCAUAGAGAUUUCGGUAGAUCUUUGCUGCGACACAAGGUAGCUUUGUGAUUAGAUCCACAGAGUCUUCAUAAAUCAACUCCCAGUACUUGGUUCGGCUGAUACCCCGUGCAUAUGCUUGGGCAAAGUUACUUUCACUGUUGAGGGCUGUAACAGCUGCACUGAGCUGAGACAUGGGGUGUAGAUUGGUGGGAAAGUUGUCCAGCAUGGUG